UACGAAGGGGGCUAGCGUUGCUCGGAAUUACUGGGCGUAAAGGGCGCGUAGGCGGACAUUUAAGUUAGAGGUGAAAGCCCAGGGCUCAACCCUGGAAUAGCCUUUAAUACUGGAUGUCUUGAGUUCGGGAGAGGUGAGUGGAAUGCCGAGUGUAGAGGUGAAAUUCGUAGAUAUUCGGCGGAACGCCAGUGGCGAAGGCGACCCACUGGCCCGAUACUGACGCUGAGGCGCGAAAGCGUGGGGAGCAAACAGG
rnacentral:rRNA from 1 species